GAGAGAUAGAAAGUAGAAAACUAGAAAUUACUUCUCGGACGUGUAAUUUCUCUGUUCUCUCUAAAUUCGUCUCUCUUUUCUCCCAUUACUUUUCUUGUUAUUUCCCCAAUCCUCGCUUUCUCUGCCCAACUAAUGAUCUCUGACCUCCUCUUCCCAACCAAUUUUUUUCAACGCCUAAAACACUUUCUUUCUCGCACCAGAAGCAACAGGAGAGAGCAUCUUCAUUGUCAUCAGCAACUAUUUGUCUAGUUAACAAUUUCUUUUUCUUUGGGGGUUUACUUGAAUUGAGUUGAGCAAGUGUUCCUGGCGGAUAAGGCUCUCAUGGAAAGCCUGGGUGGAAUUUUGAUGAUUUGAUUUCAGAGCUUGAUACCUCUAUUAUCUAGAGUCAUCCCUUUGAAGAGUUCAUACCCAAGGAGAUGUAAGUAAGAGCAUGCCAAGAGACCCAAGUACAUGAGGACAUGAGUAUUGUUCUGCGAGAAUGUCAAUAAGAGUCAUGAAAGUCACAUACAAAUAAUGCAGAUACCACAUUGAAAUUCCUUGAUCGUGAACAGAUACAUGGGACAUAUUGCCCAAUCUGAUCGCCACCAAGAUGUUGUGAGACAACCAAAGUAGGAAUGGUGCUCUUCAAAUUUAGGUAUUUCGUGAUGGAAGUUUUUCUAGAUCCAAACCGAGAACUAGCAGGUGAUGAAACUAUCAUUCUUAGUCAGUUUAAUGUGUCCAAAGCUAUCAAGGACAGCAUCCACUUAUAUUUUGGUGAGUGCGGCUUAGCUGCAGCAAUUGGUUCUUUCCAAGGUAAGUAGUGCUUAGUUGCUAUUUUUAUUGAAUAAGAAGUUUCUGUUUGAUAGAAAAUGCCUAUUUUUUAUGCUAGAUCCUAGUUGCAAUAGAUGCCACUAGGAUUAUGUUUUACUUUUUGGUUUUGAAGGAUAAAAAAUUGGCCCAUAAUCUCUUUGGUUAUUAUUGAUUCUUUAUUUCUUUAUUGAUAACAAAGUUUCUUAUCUUUGCAUGUCUGCAACUAAGGGGAAAAUACAUUGGAAGUGCAAUAACAGUGUUCUGUUUGUAUUUUUUGGUUAGUUAAAUAUGCGAAUCCUAUUACCAAGGUGUGCAUCAUCUGAGUCUCAUGGCAGGAUUACCAGAAGAUUUGGUAUGCCAUCACCAUGGUCAGGAAUAUUGGAAAUUGUCCAGUAAUUUUCAGCUUGCUAAACAUGAGUGGUAUGUCCCUUUAUUGAGUGACUUCUUGAGGCUAGUGAUAUAUUUUUCUAUUAUGAUGUGAUAUACAGUCGCCCCUUUGAUUUUUACUUCUCUAAACCAUUAUAUCACCCUUGGCUCUACUCUUUGAUUUUCAAUUGGAUAGUCUGCCGUGGAUGCCCCAAUUUCUUUCAAUAUUUAUAUCACAAAUAGAAUGGCACUUGCUCCUACUCUUAAUUUUCAACUGUAUGCACUGUUACAUUGUAGGCUAGAGGAAAGUGGGCCGAUAUUCUUUGGUUCUUUCAUAGUCACUCCAUGUCCUUAAAACUAGUUGAAUGUUUUCAAAAAAAAAAAUGGUUAUCUAUGCUUUCAUUUCUUAAAAUGCAAAGUCCCCUGUGCUUUUAGCUUUUUGUAAUGUUACUUGCCAAAAUAUACAAAUCCUGCUCUCUCUUGAAAUAGAACUGUAUUUCAUUUAUUCAAAAUAUACAUAUACUAACAAUUUGUUUUGGAUUUGACAGCCUUAUGUCGGUUCUCUAUAUGUUGGUCUGCUUUUGCUAAUCUUUUCUGGGCUUCUUUUGUGGAAAAGAGGGGAUUCAUUGAUCACUUUGGAAGUAACCAUUUUCUGUUUUUUGGCACAAUAUCCUUUGUUUUUAAAUUAAGAUUUCAAAAAACUGGGGUCUGAUUCUUACUAGUUUGAUUUAUCUUCCUCUUUACAAGCUUUCAUGAAGAUUCAAUAGUUUAGGUAUGACAAGUAGUGAGUGAGAUGUUGGAAACCAGUCCUAGUGAUGCAUAUGAAGUGUAACAGGUUGUAUCAGGGCCUGCAAAAGGGAGGCCUUAAAAGUGUGAUAACGCAAAGUUUGAACUUUACGUGCUUACUGUUGGAGAUAGUCUCUCCCCUCAGGUUCUUCAGCAGGUGCACAACUGUAUCGAGAAAAUAAAAGUUCUUAAGCUUUGAGAAUGGAAUUGCAACUCAGUCUAUUCAUCUUUAACUAUUGAUCUAAAGGUACCAGCUUGUUUAAGCUGUUGUGCACAAGGAGUUGGGAUUUGAAUGAAGAUUACUCAAUCCACAUCUUCCAAAGGAUAUCUCCUCUAUCGUGAUUGGGAAUUAUUUAUUGUUUCCUUUGUGGAAAAAUGCAGAAAGCAAUAUUAUUGUUUUUGGCGAUGCAGUUCAUUGGAUUACUUGUUUUUUUUUAUCUUCUUACAUGGACAACAUGAUUGUUUCCUUGCUUUUCUGUCAGAGGGGCCAGACAUUAUUGUUUAGCUGAUUCAAAGGAACACGCAUGCACGCACGCACGCAUGCACGCACACACGCACACACGCACACACACACACACACAGGGUUGUGUUUCUCUCUUCCUUUUCUUCUUCUCGGGAAGAUUUCCCCCCUUUUUGUGUCUCAUUUUGCAGGAAGAACCGCAUUGUUCUUUCACCCUUUCAAUCUCUCUGGAAUCGUGGAUCUCUCUCUCGCUCUCUCCUAUUUUCCCAAAUUUUUGGGUUUGUUUCUCUAUCCUUUUUCUCUUUCGCAUUUUUCAGGGAAGAUUUCCCUGAUUUUUUGUCUCUCUCAUUUUGCAGGAAGAACCAUGUUAUUCUUUCUUCGUCUCCGUCAAUCUUUUUGAAACUGUGGAUCUAUGGGAGUUGUGUUUGUUUGUCAGAGCGGAUUAUGAUAUGUCGUGUAGAGUGGGCUCAGUCAACAGUUUUAUGUGAUUUAGAGCAAGCUGGUAGAGUGUAUUAGUGCACUUUUGGGAAUCUCGCCUUGGUUUUGUAGUCUAUCGCUGAGGCUUAGGUAUCCGAUCUGCACCACGAGACAGAUUUGGGUGUGAUCCCAGGAAGCAUCAACCAUAGUGGGUUCACUGAUGCCCCAUUGAGGCUAGUUGUUCUAGUGGGAGUUAAAUGUUUAUCGGCUGGUGGAAUGAUGUUUGCAAGACAACAGCCUUCACCUCAACACUUUCAUUCUUCACAACAUAGUUGCAUGAGUUCCACAUUGAUCCUAUAUUGGUCGGAAUCUUGGAUUUGGAAUGACGUGUAUGUGCUGGAGAGAGACCUUUUGCUACUUGUUAUGACACAUGAGAUAGGUAGGUAAAAGUCACCAAUGGAAUUAAUCGAUUAGAUAUGACUUGUCUGUGAAGGGGACAUUUACAAUCUGAGGUGAAUUUGUGAUCUUAUCUACUUCUUGGCUGACUUUGAUGGAUCAAUCGUGAGCACCUUGCACUGGUAUAUUUGUGAGCUAUUUGAUUUGUUGGGUUGGAUUGCAGGUACGUAAUAAUUAUGAGUAAUUUAGGAGUGUCUAUUUGAAAGGGUUUUUUUUUUUUUAAAAAAAACUCUUCUCAAGAUUUGCUUAAUCUUCCAAUAAGAUAUUUCUUAGUUUCUUUGUCAUGUUUUUGUUGGGAAAGAAAAAUAUGUCCCCUCAAUCUUGUCUUAUAGUUGUUUAAUUAGAAAAUGACAUUUUUUGAAGAGAUUGAUUGUUCUAAAGAAGGAACUUUUUUGAAAAUAUUAAUUUUAUUUUUAUUAACAAUCACAGUCAAGGAGACACAAAUUGUGUGAAGAAAAUGGAUUUUAAUAAUUGUUCAAAUCCCCAAAAUGUAGGGAUCAUUAUCAGACUUUACAUCAUUUAUAAUGAAAAUCACAUUGCAAAAAAAGCAAGAUAUCCUAAAUCGACGGCCUUAUUUAUUCUCAUGGUCAAACAUUCACAAACAAUAAAGGAAAAACAAAAACUCCAUUUAAGAACUACUCUUAAGCCUGCAAAGGUUCUUCCUAGCCUUGUUCAUUUCGUCCCAGAGACGUCUAAUCUCAUCCUCUGCAGCCCGAAUUUCGCCGCCCUCUCCUCCGUGUUCAUGAAGUUGUAUUGGCGAUCAAGGUGGUCUUCAAGCAAUUCAUUAGACCUUAUUUGGCCAAGGAAAUACUCCCGAAUGCUGGUAAGGCUUCUUGCUUGAUUAUUGGCAAAAUCAAGAAAGUGGAGGAUUUCCUCCAUCUUCCAGUUGAUGUGAAGCUGUGUCUUCCAAAGAAAGAAAAGAGGACAUGGACUUCACAGAAGAAGAAGACAGAGACCUUAGAGAGGAAGAAGCCCAAGAAGAAGAACAUUGCAUGCAAAUCGUACCAGCGCAAAAUUUCCCCGUCAAGAAGUCGGAAGCCUGCAAGUCCGAAUAACUAACUACGGUGGGAUUCUCCUUUAAAGACAUGGUUUCAUGGCAGAAAAUAGAAAUAAGAGUGUAAAAAGGAGAUUCAAGAAUUAGAACUUUAAGGGAUGAAGACUCAAAUCCAGCAUUGAGGCGCUCCAGAGAAGUUUCCCGGUCAAAUGACUGGACAUGAAGUGAAAUAGGAAACUUUCCAUCCUAGAAGACACCAGUGCCACACUUGUGGCGCAGUAGCCGCUGGAUUUGCACCACAAAUUGCAGCACGGUAAACAAUUUUGUGCUGGAAUGCUCAGAAAAUUUAUGUCGUGCUGACCGAUGCAGGUCCAAUUAGUUGUUGGAGAGUUUAAACAUAACGAUUUUCUCAUAUUCUCAAAUUUUAAAAAAUUCCCACCUUAUUUUGUGAUUUACUAAACGUUCACUUUUUCAACUUGCUAAAACCAUCAUAUUUUGGUCC